AAACUGUUUACAUAGCAGCCUUUUGUUACAGGUUUUAAAUCUUCUCAGGCUGCCAGUUUGAGGCUGAGGCUGCCAGCUGGCAGACAGAGAGGUGCUUGUGCUCCAACUGUUGGAGGUAAUUAACAGCCCGAACUGUCAGAAGGUGACAGCCGGCAGAAAGUUCCUGCCCUGGGGUCACAGCUGGAUUCCGGCAACUUGCUCCUUGAUUUACCAGUAAAACUAAUAAUUCCACGACAGAAAAUGUACAUACAUGGACAGUCAAAUGUUGAGAUGCAAACAAUAUUAGCAUUUGUAUGCCUUUGUCUUUUGAAAUCAGGAGGGGUGUAUUCCUGCCUGCAGACUUUGGGAAAUCACCACAGGGAGUCAGACUACUGAAGCACAGUCAAGCAAUAAAUCUACCAGAUACAAAUUCACAGGGAAAGUAAGACAGCAGUCCAACCAGAGGUAAAUUUGCAACAGGACUGACUUCAGAUGGUACCGAAGGCUUGCAAGAAAAAUAAUACAGUUCUGUCCGAUCACAUCUAAUCAGCAAAUGUCUCACUUACAUUCAAGUGUUCUGCAAUUCAAAGCUGGUUCUGCAGUCUCACAGCAUGAUUGCACUUACGGUGCAAUGGAGUCAUCUUGUAUUUAUCAGGAGUGAACUACUGCCAGCAGCUGAAAGGUUUGUGGUUUUAGUGAGCAUACUUCAAUGUUGCCCAUCAUGUAUUCACUCUCAGGGUGGUGCACAUUUUUCUCCCUUCCCUUGAAAUAACUGUUUCAGGUCAAAUCAAAAGACUUUGUGUCAGAGCUGAUUUCUUGCAUUAUAAUUUACAGUAAAUACAUUUUUAAAUGCAAAGCAUAUUUACAUUUAGAAAACAAACAAACAAACAGAAUUUGAAUGGAGACUAUCAAUUUUUUGUUUUUAUUUAAGAAUAGUUUGUCAAAAAAGCACCUUUUUUAGAUAAAAAAAGUAAAGAACCAUCAUUGUAGGGUUUUUUACAAAACAGUCAAGUCUGUUAGGUAUAACAUACUUGCAAAUGCUGAUUUUUCAUGUUAUUAUUGUUUUAAAGCAGUUUUUUCUCUAUUUCUCUUAAAAACAAACAAACAACAACAACAACAAAACUCUUGAAAUUUGCUUGACCCAUGAAAGUUUUCCAGAUGUAAUAAGUCAUUCUGUUUCAACGGUGAGACACAGUGUUCCUACAAUUAGCAACAAACCUGUCAGGGCUCUUCAGAACAUUUUUUUGACUGUAUUGACUCAAUACAGCUAUAGCUUUGUGAAACUUGAGAACAACCUUUUUAAAAUGAAUUAUAGCCAUUGGCCCAAUGAAUCCAUUGCUCUGUAAAGCAAAACACAGGCAGUUAUUUUCACUUGCUUUACAGUGUCCUUCGACCUAUUUUAAAUGGUGAGACAUGUUUCCUCUCUGGUCUUGCUGAAUCCAGAAUAGAAGGAAAUCUGGGGAAAAAAAUCUCCUCAGAAAAGACAUAUGUAUGUUAAAAUUUUGUUCAAGUAGAUACUUUUUCAAGGAGUGGUGUUUUCAGAGGCACUGCUUCUCAAAGUGUUAAACGGCCAUUUUUGUAAGUCUUGAAGAUCCCUUUUGUUUCUGUUAAUUCCAGGAGCAAAUUAUUCCCUAUGCCUUCAAGGAUGCCUAUUUUAGUUCUCAGUGCAGAAGCAGGACCACAUCUUCCUUUUGUCCACAUCCUGAUAUGUAUUCCAUUGAAAUUAAAUAAAGAUGCCAUUGGCUUCAGUGAGCUUUGGACGAGUCUUCAAAGGCAUUUUUAAACAUAGGAAUACUAUAUAUACCAAUUGAAUUAGUGGUUAAAAAAAAUGUUCCCACACCAUUUGUAGAAGCAAAGGUAUGUGUAUGUCGUAGAAUAACAAUCAAGAGGAAAAAGAAAUAUUCAGGUUUAUGAUAUUUGCUACCAAAAAGACAUAUAGAGAAGGACGAUUAGCUUGCUAGGGAUCUGCUUAGAAGAGAUGAGUUCCAGGAACUGCGUUACCAGAGAUUUCCUGUGUGAUCUUGUACCAGUCUGCACUUCUGCAGGAAAAAGUAUUUCCAUAUUUAUAAAAUGAAAUGUUUGAAAAUAAAAAAUAAUAGUGGCACACUCUGAUUCUGUGGUAAAAUAAGUAUUUAGACAUGCAGCGAUAGAAAUACAAGACAUCAACCUAUGUCAGCAGACAGCCU
ensembl:lncRNA